rnacentral:rRNA from 1 species
UACGUAGGGUGCGAGCGUUGUCCGGAAUUACUGGGCGUAAAGAGCUACGUAGGUGGUUUGUCGCGUUGUUCGUGAAAACUCACAGCUUAACUGUGGGCGUGCGGGCGAUACGGGCAGACGUGGAGUACUGCAGGGGAGACUGGAAGUUCCUGGUGGUAGCGGUGGGAAUGCGCAGAUAUUGGGAGGAACACCCGUGGCGAAGG